ensembl:Y_RNA Y_RNA Y RNA
AAUUGGUCUGAGUAUUGUGGGUUAUUGUUAAGCUGAUUUAAUAUUGUUUCCCUCGACAACCAUGCUUGACUAGCUUAAA